GACGAACGCUGGCGGCGUGCUUAACACAUGCAAGUCGAACGGUGAACCUCUUCGGAGGGGAUCAGUGGCGAACGGGUGAGUAACACGUGGGCAACCUGCCCCCGGCUCUGGGAUAACUCCAAGAAAUUGGGGCUAAUACCGGAUGUUCACCGCUUCCCGCAUGGGUGGUGGUGGAAAGGGUUUCCGGCUGGGGGUGGGCCCGCGGCCUAUCAGCUUGUUGGUGGGGUAGUGGCCUACCAAGGCGACGACGGGUAGCCGGCCUGAGAGGGUGACCGGCCACACUGGGACUGAGACACGGCCCAGACUCCUACGGGAGGCAGCAGUGGGGAAUAUUGCGCAAUGGGCGGAAGCCUGACGCAGCGACGCCGCGUGGGGGAUGACGGCCUUCGGGUUGUAAACCUCUUUCAGCAGGGACGAAGCGCAAGUGACGGUACCUGCAGAAGAAGCACCGGCCAACUACGUG
rnacentral:rRNA from 1 species